CAAAUGCUACAACCGCACAGAACAGGUCAUAAACUUUUAUAAUAAAGUACCUGUAUGGCGAGUCUGAGUCAGUUA
rfam:Virgibacillus sp. LM2416 chromosome, complete genome.